rnacentral:rRNA from 1 species
CAGCAGCCGCGGGAAUACGUAGGUGGCAAGCGUUGUCCGGAAUUAUUGGGCGUAAGGGGCUCGCAGGCGGUUUCUUAAGUCUGAUGUGAAAGCCCCCGGCUCAACCGGGGAGGGUCAUUGGAAACUGGGAAACUUGAGUGCAGAAGAGGAGAGUGGAAUUCCACGUGUAGCGGUGAAAUGCGUAGAGAUGUGGAGGAACACCAGUGGCGAAGGCGACUCUCUGGUCUGUAACUGCCGCUGAGGAGCGAAAGCGUGGGGAGCGAACAGGAUUAGAUACCCCUGUAGUCCCUGUCUCUUAUAC